rnacentral:rRNA from 1 species
AUUGAACGCUGGCGGCAGGCCAACACAUGCAAGUCGAGCGGUAGAGAGAAGCUUGCUUCUCUUGAGAGCGGCGGACGGGUGAGUAAUGCCUAGGAAUCUGCAUGGUAGUGGGGGAUAACGUUCGGAAACGGACGCUAAUACCGCAUACGUCCUACGGGAGAAAGCAGGGGACCUUCGGGCCUUGCGCUAUCAGAUGAGCCUAGGUCGGAUUAGCUAGUUGGUGAGGUAAUGGCUCACCAAGGCGACGAUCCGUAACUGGUCUGAGAGGAUGAUCAGUCACACUGGAACUGAGACACGGUCCAGACUCCUACGGGAGGCAGCAGUGGGGAAUAUUGGACAAUGGGCGAAAGCCUGAUCCAGCCAUGCCGCGUGUGUGAAGAAGGUCUUCGGAUUGUAAAGCACUUUAAGUUGGGAGGAAGGGUUGUAGAUUAAUACUCUGCAAUUUUGACGUUACCGACAGAAUAAGCACCGGCUAACUCUGUGCCAGCAGCCGCGGUAAUACAGAGGGUGCAAGCGUUAAUCGGAAUUACUGGGCGUAAAGCGCGCGUAGGUGGUUUGUUAAGUUGGAUGUGAAAUCCCCGGGCUCAACCUGGGAACUGCAUUCAAAACUGACUGACUAGAGUAUGGUAGAGGGUGGUGGAAUUUCCUGUGUAGCGGUGAAAUGCGUAGAUAUAGGAAGGAACACCAGUGGCGAAGGCGACCACCUGGACUAAUACUGACACUGAGGUGCGAAAGCGUGGGGAGCAAACAGG